CCUGGGAACUGCGUUNUGAACUGGGUGACUAGAGUGUGUCAGAGGGAGGUAGAAUUCCACGUGUAGCAGUGAAAUGCGUAGAGAUGUGGAGGAAUACCGAUGGCGAAGGCAGCCUCCUGGGAUAACACUGACGUUCAUGCCCGAAAGCGUGGGUAGCAAACAGGAUUAGAUACCCUGGUAGUCCACGCCCUAAACGAUGUCGAUUAGCUGUUGGGCAGCAUGACUGCUUAGUAGCGAAGCUAACGCGUGAAAUCGACCGCCUGGGGAGUACGGUCGCAAGAUUAAAACUCAAAGGAAUUGACGGGGACCCGCACAAGCGGUGGAUGAUGUGGAUUAAUUCGAUGCAACGCGAAGAACCUUACCUGGUCUUGACAUGUACGGAAUCCUCCAGAGACGGAGGAGUGCCUUCGGGAGCCGUAACACAGGUGCUGCAUGGCUGUCGUCAGCUCGUGUCGUGAGAUGUUGGGUUAAGUCCCGCAACGAGCGCAACCCUUGUCAUUAGUUGCCAUCAUUAAGUUGGGCACUCUAAUGAGACUGCCGGUGACAAGCCGGAGGAAGGUGGGGAUGACGUCAAGUCCUCAUGGCCCUUAUGGCCAGGGCUUCACACGUCAUACAAUGGUCGGUACAGAGGGUAGCCAAGCCGCGAGGCGGAGCCAAUCUCACAAAACCGAUCGUAGUCCGGAUUGCACUCUGCAACUCGAGUGCAUGAAGUCGGAAUCGCUAGUAAUCGCAGGUCAGCAUACUGCGGUGAAUACGUUCCCGGGUCUUGUACACACCGCC
rnacentral:rRNA from 1 species